rnacentral:rRNA from 1 species
ACACAUGCAAGUCGAACGGAGAUUAUUUCGAUAAUCUUAGUGGCGAACGGGUGAGUAACGCGUGGGCAACCUGCCCUCUAGAUGGGGACAACAUCCCGAAAGGGGUGCUAAUACCGAAUGUGACAGCAAUCUCGCAUGAGGAUGCUGUGAAAGAUGGCCCCUAUUUAUAAGCUAUCGCUAGAGGAUGGGCCUGCGUCUGAUUAGCUAGUUGGUGGGGUAACGGCCUACCAAGGCGAUGAUCAGUAGCCGGUCUGAGAGGAUGAACGGCCACAUUGGGACUGAGACACGGCCCAGACUCCUACGGGAGGCAGCAGUGGGGAAUCUUCCGCAAUGGGCGAAAGCCUGACGGAGCAAUGCCGCGUGAGUGAUGAAGGAAUUCGUUCCGUAAAGCUCUUUUGUUUAUGGCGAAUGUGCAGGUUGUGAAUAAUGAUUUGUAAUGACGGUAGUAAACGAAUAAGCCACGGCCAACUACGUGCCAGCAGCCGCGGUAAUACGUAGGUGGCGAGCGUUGUCCGGAAUUAUUGGGCGUAAAGAGCAUGUAGGCGGUUUUUUAAGUCUGGAGUGAAAAUGCGGGGCUCAACCCCGUAUGGCUCUGGAUACUGGAAGACUUGAGUGCAGGAGAGGAAAGGGGAAUUCCCAGUGUAGCGGUGAAAUGCGUAGAUAUUGGGAGGAACACCAGUGGCGAAGGCGCCUUUCUGGACUGUGUCUGACGCUGAGAUGCGAAAGCCAGGGUAGCGAACGG